GACGAACGCUGGCGGCGCGCUUAACACAUGCAAGUCGAACGGAAAGGCCUGCUUUCCCUUGUGGAUUGCGGGUACUCGAGUGGCGAACGGGUGAGUAACACGUGAGUGAUCUGCCCCCAACUUGGGUAUAAGCCUGGGAAACUGGGUCUAAUUCCCGAUAGGACUGCAGGGUGGUGCCUGUGGUGGAAAACGAUUUUCUAGUGGUUGGGGAUGAGCUCGCGGCGUAUCAGCUUGUUGGUGGGGUAAUGGCCUACCAAGGCGGCGACGGGUAGCCGGCCUGGGGGAGUGGACGGCCACAGUGGGACUGAGAUACGGCCCAGGCGCCUACGGGAGGCAGCAGUGGGGAAGAUUGCGCAAUGGGCGGAAGCCUGAGGCAGCGACGCCGCGUGGGGGAUGACGGCCUUCGGGUUGUAAACUCCUUUCGACCGCGAGGAAGCCACCUGGUUGGAAGGGUGGUGACGGUAGUGGUAGAAGAAGCACCGGCUAACUACGUG
rnacentral:rRNA from 1 species